rnacentral:tRNA from 1 species
GGGGGUAUGGCUCAGUGGUAGAGCAUUUGACUGCAGAUCAAGAGGUCCCCAGUUCAAAUCUGGGUGCCCCCU